rnacentral:tRNA from 1 species
GGCCGUGUAGCUCAAUGUGGUUAGAGCAACCGUGCACACAAAACGGAGAGGGAAGAUCCCGGUUCAAAUCCGGGCACGGCCACAA